CUGAGCUGGUGGCUGGGCGCAGGCUCCCGUCCUCCAGACCUGGCCUCUCGGGUGAGCGACAUCGGCUGAGCCGGGGCCUCCGGUCCUCCCAGUGACAGAGAACCCAGAGCUCGGUGCCCCUGAGAGUGACGUUGUGCCAAGUGCUGGACAGCCGGGGGCUGCUCUCUGUGGACAGACGCUCCCCACGGCGCAGAGCAGAGACCCUGGCCCUCGCAGAAGGCCUGAGUGGGGCCGGCACUCGUCCUGCAUCUGAAGAAGAAUCCCGGGACUGGCAUCAGGUGGCCAAGGACGGGUCCCCGAG